rnacentral:rRNA from 1 species
GAUGAACGCUGGCGGCGUGCCUAAUACAUGCAAGUCGAGCGAACGGACGAGAAGCUUGCUUCUCUGAUGUUAGCGGCGGACGGGUGAGUAACACGUGGAUAACCUACCUAUAAGACUGGGAUAACUUCGGGAAACCGGAGCUAAUACCGGAUAAUAUUUUGAACCGCAUGGUUCAAAAGUGAAAGACGGUCUUGCUGUCACUUAUAGAUGGAUCCGCGCUGCAUUAGCUAGUUGGUAAGGUAACGGCUUACCAAGGCAACGAUGCAUAGCCGACCUGAGAGGGUGAUCGGCCACACUGGAACUGAGACACGGUCCAGACUCCUACGGGAGGCAGCAGUAGGGAAUCUUCCGCAAUGGGCGAAAGCCUGACGGAGCAACGCCGCGUGAGUGAUGAAGGUCUUCGGAUCGUAAAACUCUGUUAUUAGGGAAGAACAUAUGUGUAAGUAACUGUGCACAUCUUGACGGUACCUAAUCAGAAAGCCACGGCUAACUACGUGCCAGCAGCCGCGGUAAUACGUAGGUGGCAAGCGUUAUCCGGAAUUAUUGGGCGUAAAGCGCGCGUAGGCGGUUUUUUAAGUCUGACGUGAAAGCCCACGGCUCAACCGUGGAGGGUCAUUGGAAACUGGAAAACUUGAGUGCAGAAGAGGAAAGUGGAAUUCCAUGUGUAGCGGUGAAAUGCGCAGAGAUAUGGAGGAACACCAGUGGCGAAGGCGACUUUCUGGUCUGUAACUGACGCUGAUGUGCGAAAGCGUGGGGAUCAAACAGGAUUAGAUACCCUGGUAGUCCACGCCGUAAACGAUGAGUGCUAAGUGUUAGGGGGUUUCCGCCCCUUAGUGCUGCAGCUAACGCAUUAAGCACUCCGCCUGGGGAGUACGACCGCAAGGUUGAAACUCAAAGGAAUUGACGGGGACCCGCACAAGCGGUGGAGCAUGUGGUUUAAUUCGAAGCAGCGCGAAGAACCUUACCAAAUCUUGACAUCCUUUGACAACUCUAGAGAUAGAGCCUUCCCCUUCGGGGGACAAAGUGACAGGUGGUGCAUGGUUGUCGUCAGCUCGUGUCGUGAGAUGUUGGGUUAAGUCCCGCAACGAGCGCAACCCUUAAGCUUAGUUGCCAUCAUUAAGUUGGGCACUCUAAGUUGACUGCCGGUGACAAACCGGAGGAAGGUGGGGAUGACGUCAAAUCAUCAUGCCCCUUAUGAUUUGGGCUACACACGUGCUACAAUGGACAAUACAAAGGGCAGCGAAACCGCGAGGUCAAGCAAAUCCCAUAAAGUUGUUCUCAGUUCGGAUUGUAGUCUGCAACUCGACUACAUGAAGCUGGAAUCGCUAGUAAUCGUAGAUCAGCAUGCUACGGUGAAUACGUUCCCGGGUCU